AUGGCCGCCGUUACGCCCUUCGACUACCUCCCCUGCUUCUCUUCUCGGCUCGACCGGCACGACGGCCGCUGCAGCGGCAAGCAUGACCCCGCCCACGUGGCCCUCAAGUCCAUGGACUUCAUCUUUGCCACAACCGAAGCCGGCAAUGUGCUAGAUUACAGGCUAUCUACUGUAGCUGCGGCUGCAAUCUUGGCUGCAUCCUACGGAGCUCUACUGACCAAAGAAGCACUAGAGUCCAUGAAACUCUGUUUUUUAGACUACUAG
rnacentral:rRNA from 1 species